rnacentral:rRNA from 1 species
UGGGACUGAGACACGGCCCAGACUCCUACGGGAGGCAGCAGUGGGGAAUUUUGUGCAAUGGGCGAAAGCCUGAUGCAGCGACGCCGCGUGGGGGAUGAAGCUUCUCGGAGUGUAAACCCCUUUCGACCCGGACGAAUGCCCCGCAGGGGAGUGACGGUACGGGUAUCAGAAGCCCCGGCUAACUACGUGCCAGCAGCCGCGGUAAUACGUAGGGGGGC